rnacentral:rRNA from 1 species
AUUGAACGCUGGCGGCAUGCCUUACACAUGCAAGUCGAACGGCAGCACGGGAGCAAUCCUGGUGGCGAGUGGCGAACGGGUGAGUAAUAUAUCGGAACGUGCCCAGUCGUGGGGGAUAACGUAGCGAAAGCUACGCUAAUACCGCAUACGAUCUAUGGAUGAAAGCGGGGGAUCGCAAGACCUCGCGCGAUUGGAGCGGCCGAUAUCAGAUUAGGUAGUUGGUGGGGUAAAAGCCUACCAAGCCUUCGAUCUGUAGCUGGUCUGAGAGGACGACCAGCCACACUGGAACUGAGACACGGUCCAGACUCCUACGGGAGGCAGCAGUGGGGAAUUUUGGACAAUGGGCGCAAGCCUGAUCCAGCAAUGCCGCGUGCAGGAUGAAGGCCUCGGUUGUAAACUGCUUUGUACGGUAACGAAACGGUUACGUUUCUUAAUACUAGAGAGCUAAUGACGGUACCGUAAGAA